GGACGAUUAGUUCAGCUUGGUUAGAACGCUAGCUCGACAAGCUAGAGGUCAUUGGUUCGAGUCCAAUAUCGUCCA
rnacentral:tRNA from 1 species